UUCGAGUACUCGUACCCCAUAGAGAAAAUUCACGAUUAAAAGAAAGCGGGAUAGGUAAAUACCUGUCAAGAAUAAGUAACUAUAAUCAUUAUAGUGUUGUAUGUAACGGUUGGUGUUAUACUUAUACAAAGACAGUAUCAACAAGGAAGAUAAAGACCUUGCUUCCACAGAUAUCAUACAGACACCACAAUAUAAAAGAGUUAAACGAACCAACUUCCACCAAGGCUUGUAAUAUUUGAUUUGUUUAUGUUUAAAGUAGACGGUACGCCACCUAGGCGAGUUUCAAGUUGGAUAGACGGUAGCUCGUCAUUGGGACGAGCUGCUAGCUGGGUAAAACAGACGGCUUUGAAAACUGUGAAUGCAUUUCAUUCGUUUUGUGAACGAUAUUGGCGAGAUGAUGUAGAGGGGAAGAA